GUAUUUUGACUAUACAAAGGUAUUGAAAUAAGAUUUUAAUUGAAUGCUAAGAGAAUGGAAUUACAGAAAAUAGCUUUUUUUAAAUUAAAAAUUGAAAUUUUUUUAAUUUGUGCAGAAACAAUUAUUAAUAUUAAGGACAAGAAGACCCUAUGAAUUUAUAAAUUUAUUUUAUAAUAAAUAAUAUAUAAUAAAUUUUGGUUGGGGCGACAAAAAAAAAUAAAAAACUUUUUUUUAAUAAAAUGAUCCAUUAUUAAUGAUUAUAUGAAAAAUACUCUAGGGAUAACAGCGUUAUAUUUUUUGAUAGCUCAUAUUGACAAAAAAGUUUGCGACCUCGAUGUUGGAUUAGGAUGCUUUUUUAAUGAAGA
rnacentral:rRNA from 1 species